GCGAACGCUGGCGGCAGGCCUAACACAUGCAAGUCGAACGAACCUUCGGGUUAGUGGCGGACGGGUGAGUAACACGUGGGAACGUGCCUUUUGGUUCGGAACAACUCAGGGAAACUUGAGCUAAUACCGAAUGUGCCCUUCGGGGGAAAGAUUUAUCGCCAUUAGAGCGGCCCGCGUCUGAUUAGCUAGUUGGUGAGGUAAAGGCUCACCAAGGCUACGAUCAGUAGCUGGUCUGAGAGGAUGACCAGCCACAUUGGGACUGAGACACGGCCCAAACUCCUACGGGAGGCAGCAGUGGGGAAUCUUGCGCAAUGGGCGAAAGCCUGACGCAGCCAUGCCGCGUGAAUGAUGAAGGUCUUAGGAUUGUAAAAUUCUUUCACCGGGGACGAUAAUGACGGUACCCGGAGAAGAAGCCCCGGCUAACUUCGU
rnacentral:rRNA from 1 species